rnacentral:rRNA from 1 species
GACGAACCGUGCGAACGUUAUUCGGAAUCACUGGGCUUAAAGCGCGUGUAGGCGGGCGGGAACGUCGGUUGCUGAAAGCCCCCGGCUCAACCGGGGAACGGGCACCGAAACGGCCGUCCUCGAGGCGAGGAGAGGGACCCGGAACGUCCGGUGGAGCGGUGAAAUGCGUUGAGAUCGGACGGAACACCGACGGCGAAAGCAGGGUCCUGGACUCGUACUGACGGCUGAGGCGCGAAAGCCAGGGGAGCCGGAACGGG